rnacentral:rRNA from 1 species
UACGGAGGGUGCAAGCGUUAUCCGGAUUCACUGGGUUUAAAGGGUGCGUAGGUGGGCAGGUAAGUCCGUGGUGAAAUCUCUGAGCUUAACUCAGAAACUGCCGUGGAUACUAUUUGUCUUGAAUGUUGUGGAGGUGAGCGGAAUAUGUCAUGUAGCGGUGAAAUGCUUAGAUAUGACAUAGAACACCAAUUGCGAAGGCAGCUCACUAACACAAUUAUUGAUGCUGAGGCACGAAAGCGUGGGGAUCAAACAGG